GAUGAACGCUGGCGGCGUGCCUAAUACAUGCAAGUCGAGCGAACGGACGAGAAGCUUGCUUCUCUGAUGUUAGCGGCGGACGGGUGAGUAACACGUGGAUAACCUACCUAUAAGACUGGGAUAACUUCGGGAAACCGGAGCUAAUACCGGAUAAUAUUUUGAACCGCAUGGUUCAAAAGUGAAAGACGGUCUUGCUGUCACUUAUAGAUGGAUCUGCGCUGCAUUAGCUAGUUGGUAAGGUAACGGCUUACCAAGGCAACGAUGCAUAGCCGACCUGAGAGGGUGAUCGGUCACACUGGAACUGAGACACGGUCCAGACUCCUACGGGAGGCAGCAGUAGGGAAUCUUCCGCAAUGGGCGAAAGCCUGACGGAGCAACGCCGCGUGAGUGAUGAAGGUCUUCGGAUCGUAAAACUCUGUUAUUAGGGAAGAACAUAUGUGUAAGUAACUGUGCACAUCUUGACGGUACCUAAUCAGAAAGCCACGGCUAACUACGUG
rnacentral:rRNA from 1 species